AUUGAACGCUGGCGGCAGGCCUAACACAUGCAAGUCGAACGAGUGGCGGACGUGUGAGUAAUGUCUGGGAAACUGCCUGAUGGAGGGGGAUCACUACUGGAAACGGUAGCUCAUACCGCAUACCAUCGGAUGUGCCCAGAUGGUAUUAGCUAGUAGGUGGGGUAAAGGCUCACCUAGGCGCCGCUCCCUAGCUGGUCUGGGCUGAGGACCAGCCAAGCUGGAACUGAGACACGGUCCAGAAUCCUGAGGGAGGCAGCGGUGGGGAAUAUUGCACAAUGGGGGCAAGCCUGAUGCAGCAAUGCCGCGUGUAUGAAGAAGGCCUUCGGGUUGUAAAGUACUUUCAGCGGGGAGGCGUUACCCGAAGAAGAAGCACCGGGUAACUCCGUGCCAGCAGCCGCGGUAUUUC
rnacentral:rRNA from 1 species